rnacentral:tRNA from 1 species
GCGUGUAGGAUUUUAUCGAGUUUGAUUUGAAGUCAUUCUUUUCAUAUUAGUUUAUGAUGCUCGCU